rnacentral:rRNA from 1 species
UACGUAGGGGGCAAGCGUUAUCCGGAUUUACUGGGUGUAAAGGGAGCGCAGGCGGUCUGGCAAGUCUGAUGUGAAAGGCCGGGGCUCAACCCCGGGACUGCAUUGGAAACUGUCAGACCGGAGUGUCGGAGAGGUAAGCGGAAUUCCUAGUGUAGCGGUGAAAUGCGUAGAUAUUAGGAGGAACACCAGUGGCGAAGGCGGCUUACUGGACGAUGACUGACGCUGAGGCUCGAAAGCGUGGGGAGCAAACAGG